GAAAAAUUACCAAUUGGUUUAUUAUUCAUGUUCCAUGUGCUAGUAACAAAUUGGCAGAUUGUCUUGCCAAGUCUAGUGUGGGAAGAAAUGAUGAUUUUCUUCGUAUCUUUGGCAACCAUUCUUCACAUGAAGAUGAUUGAGUUUGUUCUUCUGCUUCUGUUUUUGGUCUUCUCCUAGCUUUCUUCCUGCUUCUUUUGUUUGCCUUUCUCAAUUAGGUUUUGGUGUUGGUUUGAUCUUUCCUAGGACUUUUUUGGUUGUAGUGAUGAGUUAUGCUCAUCUUAGCUGUCUUUUUGUGUUGUUUUUCUUUUUUGCCCUAUUUGUGUUGUCUCUGAGCUGUACUUUAUUUCUUCUUGUUUAGGGCUGAUGUCAUGUUUUUGGGUUCUCUACCCUUUGUGGGGGCUUUUUUUUGGU
rnacentral:lncRNA from 1 species